CUAUAACGGUCCUAAGGUAGCGAAAUUCCUUGUCGGGUAAGUUCCGACCCGCACGAAAGGCGUAACGAUUUGGGCACUGUCUCAACGAGAGACUCGGUGAAAUCAUAGUACCUGUGAAGAUGCAGGUUACCCGCGACAGGACGGAAAGACCCCGUGGAGCUUUACUGUAGCCUGAUAUUGAAAUUCGGCACAGCUUGUACAGGAUAGGUAGGAGCCUUUGAAACGUGAGCGCUAGCUUACGUGGAGGCGCUGGUGGGAUACUACCCUAGCUGUGUUGGCUUUCUAACCCGCACCACUUAUCGUGGUGGGAGACAGUGUCAGGCGGGCAGUUUGACUGGGGCGGUCGCCUCCUAAAAGGUAACGGAGGCGCUCAAAGGUUCCCUCAGAAUGGUUGGAAAUCAUUCAUAGAGUGUAAAGGCAUAAGGGAGCUUGACUGCGAGACCUACAAGUCGAGCAGGGUCGAAAGACGGACUUAGUGAUCCGGUGGUUCCGCAUGGAAGGGCCAUCGCUCAACGGAUAAAAGCUACCCCGGGGAUAACAGGCUUAUCUCCCCCAAGAGUUCACAUCGACGGGGAGGUUUGGCACCUCGAUGUCGGCUCAUCGCAUCCUGGGGCUGUAGUCGGUCCCAAGGGUUGGGCUGUUCGCCCAUUAAAGCGGUACGCGAGCUGGGUUCAGAACGUCGUGAGACAGUUCGGUCCCUAUCCGUCGUGGGCGUAGGAAAUUUGAGAGGAGCUGUCCUUAGUACGAGAGGACCGGGAUGGACAUACCUCUGGUGUACCAGUUGUCGUGCCAACGGCAUAGCUGGGUAGCUAUGUGUGGACGGGAUAAGUGCUGAAAGCAUCUAAGCAUGAAGCCCCCCUCAAGAUGAGAUUUCCCAACUUCGGUUAUAAGAUCCCUCAAAGAUGAUGAGGUUAAUAGGUUCGAGGUGGAAGCAUGGUGACAUGUGGAGCUGACGAAUACUAAUCGAUCGAAGACUUAAUCAAAA
rnacentral:rRNA from 1 species